CGCACCUUGCGCCUUUUGGUAUUCCGAAAGGCAUGCCUGUUUGAGUGUCAUGAACUACUCACCCCGACGUUUUCUAAACGACGGGCGUGGAUUUGGGUGUCUGCCUUUGUUGGCUCACCUUAAAUGGAUUAGUGGAUGAGUCGGUCAUCUGGACGUGAUACGUUUCGUCUGUGAAGGCUGGUUGUUGUCUGCUCCUAACCCUGACUUUCGAGUCAACCCCAUUUGUUAUCAGACCUCAAAUCAGGUAGGACUACCCGCUGAACUUAA
rnacentral:misc_RNA from 1 species